GGACAAUAGAAAGAACAUACAUCCAUCCAUCGCUGUCCUCAAUCCAGCCAAUCUGGGUGCACGGGCAAGCUCACGAGCCACGAGUCAACAGCUCCAUAGACCCAGACAAACCUAGGAAGCCCACAUCCUAACCAUGGACCGCCUGCACCAUUCUCUUUUUGAAGGUAGGAAUGGAGAAUAAAAGGAACAUGUUUACCCAACACAUGACUAAUGAAACUAAGUAAGAGACACAGCAACAGGAAAGAGAAACUGAGAGCAACAGUGGGCCCCAAUGACAGAAUCACCACCACCCCCAACUCCAAAUAAAAGUCGUCCCCACUUAGCAAAGCAGCGCAGCGGAAGAAGAACCCAGAGAGACGAUCGGAGGAGGAGGGGACACAGAAAAGAGCCUCAGUGGAGAGCAACCGCGUGGCCCCCUGCCCUCCACACCCAGGGAGUCGCCAGGGUGUCCUUGACAGUCACCCUGCCAAAACCUGCCAAGGCAGAAGGCCCGGAGCACACACCAGCUGGGGGACGAGAGAGAAGGAGGAGGAGAAAAGUCCAUAUUUAUCUGUUUUUCUAACCUCGGCCUGCUUUUAUUUUUUUUCUAUUAAGUACAAUAAAAUGGGAGAGCUUGAAGGGAGUACCACACAAAGCAAUGUUCAGUGAGGUCUAGAAGCGUUCGGCCGGGGAAAACUGACAAGACAGGCUAAUGAACCGUGUAGACAGCGAGAAAAUAGCCAGCGUUUGCUAGA
rnacentral:lncRNA from 1 species